UUCCGGUUGAUCCCGCCGGACCUGACUGCUAUCGGAUUGAUACUAAGCCAUGCGAGUCUUUGCAGUAAUGCAAGGCAUACGGCUCAGUAACACGUAGUCAACUUACCCUAUGGACGAGGAUAAUCUCGGGAAACUGAGCAUAAUACUCGAUAGAUCAUAAUGCCUGGAAUGGUUUAUGGUUAAAAUGAUUCGUCGCCAUAGGAUGGGACUGCGGCCUAUCAGCUUGUUGGUGAGGUAAUGGCCCACCAAGGCGAUUACAGGUACGGGCUCUGAGAGGAGAAGCCCGGAGAUGGGUACUGAGACAAGGACCCAGGCCCUAUGGGGCGCAGCAGGCGAGAAAACUUUGCAAUGUGCGAAAGCACGACAAGGUUAAUCCGAGUGAUUUCUGCUAAAGAAAUCUUUUGCAAGUCAUAAAACCACUAGUGAAUAAGGGGUGGGCAAGUUCUGGUGUCAGCCGCCGCGGUAAAACCAGCACCUCAAGUGGUCAGGAGGAUUAUUGGGCCUAAAGCAUCCGUAGCCGGCUCUGUAAGUUUUCGGUUAAAUCCAUGUGCUCAACGCAUGGGCUGCCGAAAAUACUGCAUGGCUAGGGAGUGGGAGAGGUAGACGGUACUCGGUAGGAAGGGGUAAAAUCCUUUGAUCUAUCGAUGACCACCUGUGGCGAAGGCGGUCUACCAGAACACGUUCGACGGUGAGGGAUGAAAGCUGGGGGAGCAAACCGGAUUAGAUACCCGGGUAGUCCCAGCUGUAAACGAUGCAGACUCGAUGAUGCAUUGGCAUAUAGCCAGUGCAGUGUCGCAGGGAAGCCGUUAAGUCUGCCGCCUGGGAAGUACGUACGCAAGUAUGAAACUUAAAGGAAUUGGCGGGGGAGCACCACAAGGGGUGAAGCCUGCGGUUCAAUUGGAGUCAACGCCGGG
rnacentral:rRNA from 1 species